rnacentral:lncRNA from 1 species
CAGGACAUUUUUGUUCAUGGAUCAAUUUACGUAGAUAUUGAAAUGGAAUACUGUUUGGAAUUAAAAUUCGGAAAAAGUGCAAGUUUCGACUCUUGUCGAUUUACCACCAAGAAUGUUGUGAUUUGUUGUUUGAAAAAAUUGAAUUAUACUCGAUCUAAAAAUGCAUAUCGCUGGAUUCUAAGUUAAACUGUGUUAAAAAUGGGGGAAGCUGCAGCAAGAAUUGCCUUUGCUCGACAAAGGCACAGGGAUGCAAACCGAGUAGAACAAAAUAGAAACAAUGGCAAUAAUACAGGUUCAAGGUUUCGGAAUAUUGCCCUUUCAGCUUCAGGCAAUAAUGCAGGUUCAAGGUUUCGGAAUAUUGCCCUUUCAUCUUCAGGCAAUAAUGCAGGUUCAAGGUUUCGGAAUAUUGCCCUUUCAGCUUCAGCUUCAUCUGUUGAUGGAAAACGGACACUUGUGACUGACCCCGAGUUAGCUGCAGUUUUGAGCAAAAAACAGAACAAGAAACAAACCGAGAAAAGUGAUUCCUCUUGGUUUGAAAGAUUUAAAAGAAUACACACCAGA